rnacentral:misc_RNA from 1 species
GGCAUCAGUUUGGGUGGGAGAUGAAGCUGGCAAGGCAAAGACUGCCCCUAGAAAGACGAAAGUUCAGCUUAUGUUUCAAGUUCCUCAAGAUGAUAUUGGGAAGUCAGCAUUCUUGUUCCGAGUGAAGAAAAGAUGGGACUUCUAAUUUCAGUGAGACUUCUAGUUUUUUUAUUUCUGGAUUCUGUUGUAGCAGUGGAGGUUUGGGGCUCUUGUUUUACUGGGUUGAUGUUUAUGUAUACAAUUCAGUCAAUUGUUGUCUUUAUUUUUGGCCCAGCACUUUCUCAACCUGAAAGUUCGGAAACUAGGAUAUAUAUAUAAAAAGC